GGUAGCGUGGCCGAGCGGUUAAGGCGGUUGACUUAAGAUCCACUUCUUCAUAGAGCGUGGGUUCAAAUCCCACCGCUACCA
rfam:Anncaliia algerae PRA339 unplaced genomic scaffold supercont2.49, whole genome shotgun sequence.